rnacentral:rRNA from 1 species
UGGGGAAUAUUGGACAAUGGGCGAAAGCCUGAUCCAGCAAUGCCGCGUGAGUGAUGAAGGCCUUAGGGUUGUAAAGCUCUUUUACCAGGGAUGAUAAUGACAGUACCUGGAGAAUAAGCUCCGGCUAACUCCGUGCCAGCAGCCGCGGUAAUACGGAGGGAGCUAGCGUUGUUCGGAAUUACUGGGCGUAAAGCGCGCGUAGGCGGUUAUCCAAGUCAGGGGUGAAAUCCCGGAGCUCAACUCCGGAACUGCCCUUGAAACUAGGUGACUAGAAUAUUGGAGAGGUAAGUGGAAUUCCGAGUGUAGAGGUGAAAUUCGUAGAUAUUCGGAAGAACACCAGUGGCGAAGGCGACUUACUGGACAAUUAUUGACGCUGAGGUGCGAAAGCGUGGGGAGCAAACAGG